UAGUUUUUUCCUGUUCAUAGUAUUAUGUGCUUCACUUAAUUUAUUGAUACUUCUAUGGUUUCUCUAAUUAUAGGUUACCUUAGGAGCGACUAAUUAAACAUGACAUUUGUAGGCAGCAAGAAGAUCGUUGGUGUGUUCUACCAGGCCAGCGAGUACGACGAAAAUUCAAUAGCUGAUGCAGUGCCUCAAGUUAUAUUUCCCAUCCAUAAUUACUAAAAUUUCAGUUAUCAAUAUGCAGGUUUUUAAAUGUUUUUUGUGCAAGCUUUGUACUUGAAUUUUGAGUAUCUUUUUGUAUCUUGGUAUACUCAUAGUAUGGGUUCUCCGAUGAUUUCUUUCUUCAGAGACAAACCGAGGAUAUAUUUACUAAUUCUUUAGGAAAAGGAAAACUUUGGUAGGUUCAACAUUGAGAAUAUUGGUCAGCGCCGCAACAAUAUGGAUCAGUAGAUUAUCUUGGAUGAUCUAUAUUGCUGAUGCCCAUAUACGAAGACAACUAGAAAGAAUUCUUGAGUGGGUUGUCAACAUUGAAUGAUUUCUUUGCAAGAUAGUUCAAAGUACAUCUAGGACUGGAUUGGAGUUUGUCGCCUCCACCACCUGAUUCCUGAUUUUUCACAUACACCGACUUUGUUUGCUUGAGGAAGAUGUCCAUGCUUGUGCAAGUUUUAUGAUGUAUCCUCAAAGAUUCUAAUUAUUUGGAAAGAAUUCUGGAGAAGACAUGGACUGUUUUCAAUGGCUUCUCAGUUUCGAAAUCAGCUCCUCUCUUGAUGUAUUGUUAUGAUAUUUCCGCACUGCUGUAAACAUUUUGAGUAGCUCUAAUCGAACAGCUUAUCUCGCACUUUACACUGUUGGGCCUCUCCCAUAAUGACUUCAGAAGUAAUUUAUGUUAGACGUGGCUGCCUCUUGAGAGUGCUAUUAUAGUAUUGUUUGGCCAAAAAGGAUUAGAGGUACAUUAUAUUUUUCAUAUGGUUUGUAUUGUAAACACAUGUCGUGAUACUACUAACAUAAAA